CGGUUGAUCCUGCCGGACCCUACUGCUAUCGGGGUGGGACUAAGACAUGCGUGUCGAACGACCCCUAGCCAUGAAGGGGACGUGGCGUACGGCUCAGUAACACGUGGCUAACCUACCCUUGAGACAGGGACAACCCCGGGAAACUGGGGCUAAUCCCCGAUAGAUGAGAACACCUGGAACGGGUUCUUGUCCAAAAGGCGCCUAGAUCACGCUUCUAGACACUGCUCAAGGAUGGGGCCGCGGCCGAUCAGGCUGUUGGUGAGGCAAUGGCUCACCAAACCUUUAACCGGUACGGGCCGUGGGAGCGGGAGCCCGGAGAUGGGAACUGAGACAAGGUCCCAGGCCCUACGGGGCGCAGCAGUCGCGCAAACUCUGCAAUGCACGAAAGUGUGACAGGGCUACCCCGAGUGCCGUCCGCUGAGGAUGGCUUUUCUCCACUGUAAGGAGGCGGAGGAAUAAGGAGAGGGCAAGUCUGGUGUCAGCCGCCGCGGUAAUACCAGCUCUCCGAGUGGUGGGGAUGAUUAUUNGGGCUUAAAGCGUCCGUAGCCGGCCUUUCAAGUCUCUUGUUAAAUCCAGCGAUUCAAUCGUUGGACUGCAGGAGAUACUGUUAGGCUAGGGGGCGGGAGAAGCCGACGGUAUUCUCGGGGUAGGGGUAAAAUCCUAUAAUCCCGGGAAGACCACCAGUGGCGAAGGCGGUCGGCUAGCACGCGCUCGACGGUGAGGGACGAAAGCUGGGGGAGCGAACCGGAUUAGAUACCCGGGUAGUCUCAGCUGUAAACGAUGCUGGCUAGGUGUUGAAGCGNGCUACGAGCCGCUUCAGUGCCGCANGGGAAGCCAUUAAGNCCCGCCGCCUGGGGAGUACGGCCGCAAGGCUGAAACUUAAAGGAAUUGGCGGGGGAGCACCACAANGGGGUGAAGCUUGCGGUUUAAUUGGAGUCAACGCCGGGAACCUUACCAAGGGUGACAGUUGGAUGAAGGCCAGAUUAAAGGUCUUACCAGACUAGCUGAGAGGAGGUGCAUGGCCGUCGCCAGUUCGUGCCGUGAGGUAUCCCGUUAAGUCGGGAAACGAGCGAGACCCACGCCCUUAGUUGCAAAUGAGUUCCGAAAGGAAUUCGUGCACUCUGAGGGGACUGCCGCCGAUAAGGUGGAGGAAGGAGUGGGCCACGGCAGGUCAGUAUGCCCCGAAUCGCCCGGGCCACACGCGAGCUGCAAUGGCUGGGACAAUGGGUUCCGACCCUGAAAGGGGAAGGCAAUCCCGAAACCCGGCCUCAGUUGGGAUCGAGGGCUGAAACCCGCCCUCGUGAACAUGGAAUCCCUAGUAAUCGCGCGUCAUCAGCGCGCGGUGAAUACGUCCCUGCUCCUUGCACACACCGCCCGUCGUUCCACUCGAGUGGGUUUAGGAUGAGGCGUGGUCCUUUGUGGCUGUGUCGAAUCCUAGGUUCGCGAGAGGGGAAAAGUCGUAACAAGGUAGCC
rnacentral:rRNA from 1 species